ensembl:ncRNA lncRNA:CR45756 long non-coding RNA:CR45756
AGUGUUUUUAGACUGUUCCAGCUAACAGUAUUCGCCUCGGCUUUAUCAAGAGCAGCAGCAAGUCCAGCAGCAUGUGACUGUGACUCAGUGAGUCCGCCGAGUCCAUUUAUGUUGAAAUUCGUUUAAGAUCGAAACGGCGGCGCCAUGAAACUAUAAAUGCCAACUCUUCUGGUCUGACGUCCGUUCCGAGGCCCAUUGAUAAAAAAAAAUGUAUAUUUCUGAAUGCUCGGCGCGCCCUGCCGCUUACGCAAAACUCCUGCGAGCGGAUCCCGAUCCCCAAAAAGCCGAGACCGAACCCCAUAACCCAUACCCCAUACUCCAUACCCGAAACCGAAACCGAAGAAUUACAAAUCCCGAAAUCUGCUCUCUCUCUCUCUCUCUCUCUCACCCCCAUCGCCCAUUCCCAUUGAAAAGUGAAGAGCGGCUGUCUGAGCGGCAAACUGAGCCGAUCCGAAGCGCCGAUCCUCGAUUUUUGAGGCGCGUAUAAAAGCUUGGCUACGUCGGCAACGAAAGCUCAUUGUGCGCUCGCCGCUCGUGAUUAUCAGGUAACGUCG